CAGCAGCAAGGCAGGAGCUGUUCAAAUGGAGAAUAAUUGGCAGAAGACCAAACAGAAACAGUCUUACUCUAAAACCCUAGAGGACUUGUGCCUUCGGAUCCUGAUUUAUUAAGUGAGAAGUCCACUAUCCUGAAGCUGCUAUGCUGGAGAGACCAUGUGAAAAGAUCAUAUAGAAGUAGAAAGAUGCCCAAGAAGCCAUAUAUGCUUCUUUCUGUAGCUGUUUCAGUCUGCCCACCCAGGGAUCGGACAUGUUAGAGAAAGAGUCUUAAAGAUUAUCCCAACCCCAGCCACCAUGUGACUGCAACCUCAUGAAAACCCCACACCAGAACAGUGGUAUCAGCUCAAACUUUGCAAGGGCUAGGAGACUGAGGGCAGCUGACCAGAUUUAUGUGAUUGAGCCUAAUAAACUGGCCUGAGUAAGCUUCCCUGGUUGACAAUAUUCUGCGAGUAUUAUCACACACUGGAUGUCAGGAAAUUAACACUGUCCACAACUCAUGGAAAGGACAACUGGGAGUUCUGUGUUUAGAGCUUUCCUGAACUCUGCCCUAUGUACCCCUUCCCUUGGCUGAUUUUAACCUGUAUUCUUAGCUGCAAUAAACCGUAACUUUCCAUGA